rnacentral:rRNA from 1 species
UACAGAGGGUGCGAGCGUUGUCCGGAAUCACUGGGCGUAAAGGGCGCGUAGGUGGCGCUCCAAGUCGAUGGUGAAAGCUCGUCGCUCAACGACGAGUCGGCCACCGAUACUGGAGGGCUCGAGCACUGUAGGGGCAGAUGGAAUUCCGGGUGUAGCGGUGGAAUGCGUAGAGAUCCGGAAGAACACCGGUGGCGAAGGCGGUCUGCUGGGCAGUAGCUGACACUGAGGCGCGACAGCGUGGGGAGCAAACAGG